UAAAGCUCUGUUGUUAGGGAAGAACAAGUACGAGAGUAACUGCUCGUACCCUGACGGUACCUAACCAGAAAGCCACGGCUAACUACGUGCCAGCAGCCGCGGUAAUACGUAGGUGGCAAGCGUUGUCCGGAAUUAUUGGGCGUAAAGCGCGCGCAGGCGGUUUCUUAAGUCUGAUGUGAAAGCCCACGGCUCAACCGUGGAGGGUCAUUGGAAACUGGGAAACUUGAGUGCAGGAGAGGAGAGUGGAAUUCCACGUGUAGCGGUGAAAUGCGUAGAGAUGUGGAGGAACACCAGUGGCGAAGGCGACUCUCUGGCCUGUAACUGACGCUGAGGCGCGAAAGCGUGGGGAGCGAACAGGAUUAGAUACCCUGGUAGUCCACGCCGUAAACGAUGAGUGCUAGGUGUUAGGGGGUUUCCGCCCCUUAGUGCUGAAGUUAACGCAUUAAGCACUCCGCCUGGGGAGUACGGCCGCAAGGCUGAAACUCAAAGGAAUUGACGGGGGCCCGCACAAGCGGUGGAGCAUGUGGUUUAAUUCGAAGCAACGCGAAGAACCUUACCAGGUCUUGACAUCCUCUGACCACCCUAGAGAUAGGGCUUUCCCUUCGGGGACAGAGUGACAG
rnacentral:rRNA from 1 species